AGCGAACGCUGGCGGCAGGCUUAACACAUGCAAGUCGAGCGGCCGUAGCAAUACGGCAGCGGCAGACGGGAGAGUAACACGUGGGAACGUACCCUUCAGUUCGGAACAACCAAGGGAAACUUUGGCUAAUACCGAAUACGUCCGUAAGGAGAAAGAUUUAUCGCUGAAGGAUCGGCCCGCGUCUGAUUAGCUAGUUGGUGAGGUAACGGCUCACCAAGGCGACGAUCAGUAGCUGGUCUGAGAGGAUGAUCAGCCUCACUGGGACUGAGAAACGGCCCAGACUCCUACGGGAGGCAGCAGUGGGGAAUAUUGGACAAUGGGCGCAAGCCUGAUCCAGCCAUGCCGCGUGGAUGAUGAAGGCCUUAGGGUUGUAAAGUCCUUUUAACGGGGAAGAUAAUGACGGUACCCGUAGAAUAAGCCCCGGCUAACUUCGUGCCAGCCGCCGCCGUAA
rnacentral:rRNA from 1 species